rnacentral:pre_miRNA from 1 species
UUAACUCAAAUUUGUAUGGAGCCGGAACGUUUGCCUACGUUUGCCGCUAGGGGCGCUGUUCCAACUGCAUACCGACACUCGUUC